rnacentral:lncRNA from 1 species
CAUAAACAAAUCAAUGAACGCUCCCUCUCUAUAUAAACUUAGCCAUUAGCCAUUAGCCAUAGCCAUGCACCCUCCAACCAAAAGUUACAAAACCAGCUACUACUUGAGUUGCAAAAAUGGGAGCGAAUGAAAGCAGGGGAAGCUCUAGCUCUAGGAACAACAAGGAGAGAGAUGAGAAUGCUGUUGACUUGUGUAAUCAUGAGGUUGACGUGUCCAACCUUGUGAUUGCAGCUGUUGCUGUGGCAGGACUGGCUGUGCUGGGUUAUGGUUUGUCUGGACUUUUUUCAGGUUCAGGGCAGAGGAAGACGAUGAAAGCUCCCGGCAGAGACAGCAGAAUCUUCAGGGAUGAUUUUGAGCGAAACCCUUCUGCUUAUUUCAGAGACCUGCGCAAGUAGAUAGGAGCCAGCUAGUGGGAGAGGAGUCUAUUGCACUUGAAGCUGAUUGAGGCUACCUAUAUAAGAAUAAU